UACGUAGGGGGGCAAGCGUUGUCCGGAUUUAUUGGGCGUAAAGAGCGUGUAGGCGGCCAGAUAGGUCCGUUGUGAAAACUCGAGGCUCAACCUCGAGACGCCGAUGGAAACCAUUUGGCUAGAGUCCGGAAGAGGAGAGUGGAAUUCCUGGUGUAGCGGUGAAAUGCGCAGAUAUCAGGAAGAACACCCGUGGCUAAGGCGGCUCUCUAGUACGGUACUGACGCUGAGACGCGAAAGCGUGGGGGAGCGAACAGG
rnacentral:rRNA from 1 species